ACGUCAGACUCAGGAAGAAAAUUCUAUGCAUUUUGAAUGUUCUUACAACUCAGCAAAGUCCAUUUUCUUGUGUAGUGCAGUUCUCCAUCUUGUCGAAUAAAACUAUUUAAAAUAGAAGGGCCCAUAAAGAGCGGUUUAAGGAGGAAAUUACGACAGAAAAGGGAAGAGCAAACGAUUUGGCACUCAUGGAAGACCACCUCUCUGCUGUGUUAUCCGUUUUGCAUCAGCUUUGUCGAAACUGAAUCCACCAUAUGUCAUUGGAUACAACAAGAAGUCAACCUUCUGCAAGAGGUUCCAGAAGAGGACUCUCCCCAGAACCCAACCAUAUUGGCAUCGUGAUCUCAGACUUGAAGCCUCCAGAACUCCCUUUCCAGUAUUUCUGGGAUAGUCAUCCUUAAGGAAGCGAGUUUCAUGAGUAAGCAAACCAGUAUGCUCCCAUAGCGUGGUAGUUUCGUGCCACAAGAAUUUAUCAAUCAGCAGUUGUCUUGAAU